CCUAGCCAGGAUCUCUAGCCAGGAUCUCUAGCCAAGUUCUUCAGCCAGGUUCUGGUCAGGCUCUCCAACCAAGUUCUGGUGCCAGGUUCUGUCCAGGAUCUUUUGCCAUGUUCUCUUGCUAGCAAAGUUCAUCA